ensembl:lncRNA
UGGUUCAUAAGGGAUUUUAUUCUUCAUUUUGUGUCAGUGGGUUAUAAAAUAGGGAGGUAAUUUUAAUUCCUCAAGUUGCAAUGUUGUCCUUGUUGCCAGGUGACUGUCACCCUACAGGGAGAGAGGCCAUUUCCAAGGAAGAAGGACAGACUCCUACAUGCAGGCAAGAGAGUCAUACUACUCAUGUGGCUACUUACUCCCUCUUGGCUGAAGGUGCAGUAGCUUCCAUGUAAGCUGCAGUAACUGUGAUGGGAGAGGCACGAAGACUGUCAAAUUCAACUGCAGCAGCGCCUGAAACCGUUCUUUCAACUGGGAGAGAAAGGUCCAUUUCAACAGAAAUUUGAGGGUCUGAUCUCUGUGAGCAUUUGAAGGACUCAGCAUCAAAUGAAAUCUGGGAGACAUGUACUUUGGAUAUAAAUGAUGCCAUUGAAUACUAGGUACAUUCAAACUCUCCAAGCAAGUAGAAUGUCUCUUUAGCUUUUUUUUCCAAUAUGAGCCUCAAUUCCU